CAUCGCAAAGGCUCACAUCACUACAUCCAAAAAACAGGAAAGUUGAAGAAAAACAAUAGAAAUAUGAGAAAAUGAAAGAAAUAGAUCGUACAUAUACUGCAAAAAAAUUGGAAAUAUAUUAACUAAACAAUAUCAAUGCAUUCUAAAAUUGUUGAUGACCCGCAAGAAAUUCUUCAUUUUCGUCUAACAAAUAGACAUUUUUUUAAUUUUGCAUCGAACAAAUAGACAUUCUACAACCCCCAGCUGAGAAGCAUUACACUCAGGUAUACAUCCCUUUUGUAGGUGUACAAUAAACUGAGGAUACCCAGAAUAAAACUGUAUCCCAACAACUGUUUUCACAUCAAGCACAAUUGACUGUUCUAUAUCACGACAUUCAGGAGCAGGCUUAUCCUUUCUGCAACUACUCGGAGAAACGACAAUUCAUUUUCAGGCCUGAGGUCAGCUUUUCAGAUUUGAUCACGUGCGAGAUAACUUGGCAUCACAAUGAGAGAAAUAGAUGAUGCCCCUGUACUACCUCAUGUAUUGCCUUCAGGCAUACCUGAUGUAUUGCCUUCAGGCAAUAACACAAUGUACUAAAUUGGUUCACAUAAUUUAGAGAAAGAUAAUCCACACAAUGAGCAGAAGUAAAAUAUGGACGCUAAUAUAUAAUGCAGCUUAAAGUUGACAUGUUGGUAGUGUCCAGUAUACUGAAGUUGAUAGUUUCUUGACUCCUACAUAUGACACUGGAUUGCUUCUAGUCAAUUAAAUAUGCAGUAGAUAGGAAGAAAAAUACAGGAGAAUAGCACAUGACCAGUAUUGAAAGGACAUGGGAAAACUACUUAGAGGUCAAUGAAAUAUUAAUCUAGUUUGCAACUGAAAGACUCUAGAAUGAUAUCCUUAUGCUGAAAAUAAUCUGCCACUUAGUUGCUACCUUGGCAUCCCUCUGAAAUUAAAUACAUUAGCACUUAUUUUACUUAUAACAUUAAAUUAAUUGUUAAGAUAUGGAUUUAGAUAUAAAAUAACUGAAAGCUUUGAGACUUAUAUAUAGCAUCCAUUUAUUUUACCUGUAACAGAUUUACAUUUUGUUAAGUAGAUGAUUGAAAAGCAUUCUUCAUGCAGAUCUAAACUUUCCUUCACUAAAGGUCGAUAAGUGAAAAUAAGUGAUAAAUCAGUUGUACCUGUAAAUGUGCAUGAAUGGCAGAAACCUGACUGGCUUUACGGCCUAAGACCACAAGGAAGUUGUCCGCUUUUAUAUCAUGACGAAGGAAGUCCUCAAGUACAGUUACUCUACCUUCCCAAUCUGCACAGAAAAUUUUCAUUACUUUUACUUGGUGGUAAAAAAACGACUAAAUAAGGAUUCAUAAGAUUUUACUUUGGAGAUAAACAUUUUCAGUGGUAUUCUAUCAGACAUGUAGUCCAGCAUUAAUAGUCAAAAUGAUAAGAUAGAGUAAGAAAAAAAAUCAGCAUUUGAUCAGCAAGCAAAAAAUAUAUUGUUUAGAGAGUGCAUUUUCUAUCGCGAUAGUUGAAUAAUUCGUCCAAACUUGAACUAAGAAGAUAAUGGCCAUGAACUUAUACUAUCCGUCCACUCCAAACCACUUCCCAAUGCCGAAUCCCUAAUUAAGUUUGAAAUGAAACAUUAAGUUAAUAGCCAUAAAUUUAUUUUAUUAAAAUGCAGGUUGUUGUAUUGCUAAUUAAUUAACAUCCCUUACGGAAUAGUGUAUAGUCUCAUGAUGAUGUUGAUGAUCCAUUGGUUUAACAGAUUUAUAACAAAUUGUGGGAUGAUACAAAGUAGGAACAUUCAGGUAGGUACGUUCAGAUGCUAGCAGUUGCAGGGGCAAUGACAUGCCCUAGCACUCGGAAUUUAUGUUGAGACAAAAAAAUAUGCUCAAGUUCUGAAAGAAUGGUACCACUUAAUUCUUACCUACAUUUUUUCAUGGCAUAGUACUUGCUAGCACAUAUUGCAAGGAGCCAUUACAACAACAACAACAAAGCCUUUAGUCCCAAACAAGUUGGGGUAGGCUAGAGGUGAAACCCAUAAGAUCUCGCAACCAACUCAUGGCUCUGGCACAUGGAUAGCAAGCUUCCACGCACCCCUGUCCAUAGCUAGCUCUUUGUCGAUACUCCAAUCCUUCAGGUCUCUCUUAACGGACUCCUCCCAUGUCAAAAUCGGUCGACCCCGCCCUCUCUUGACAUUCUCCGCACGCUUUAGCCGUCCGCUAUGCACUGGAGCUUCUGGAGGCCUGCGCUGAAUAUGCCCAAACCAUCUCAAACGAUGUUGGACAAGCUUCUCCUCAAUUGGUGCUACCCCAACUCUAUCUCGUAUAUCAUCAUUCCGGACUCGAUCCUUCCUCGUGUGGCCACACAUCCAUCUCAACAUACGCAUCUCCGCCACACCUAACUGUUGAACAUGUCGCCUUUUAGUCGGCCAACACUCCGCGCCAUACAACAUUGCGGGUCGAACCGCCGUCCUGUAGAACUUGCCUUUUAGCUUUUGUGGCACUCUCUUGUCACAGAGAAUGCCAGAAGCUUGGCGCCACUUCAUCCAUCCGGCUUUGAUUCGAUGGUUCACAUCUUCAUCAAUACCCCCAUCCUCCUGCAACAUUGACCCCAAAUACCGAAAGGUGUCCUUCCGAGGUACCACCUGGCCAUCAAGGCUAACCUCCUCCUCCUCACAGCUAGUAGUACUGAAACCGCACAUCAUGUACUCGGUUUUAGUUCUACUAAGCCUAAACCCUUUCGAUUCCAAGGUUUGUCUCCAUAACUCUAACUUCCUAUUUACCCCCGUCCGACUAUCGUCAACUAGCACCACAUCAUCCGCAAUGAGCAUACACCAUGGGAUAUCUCCUUGUAUACCCCUUGUGACCUCAUCCAUCACCAAUGCAAAAAGAUAAGGGCUCAAAGCUGACCCCUGAUGCAGUCCUAUCUUAAUCGGGAAGUCAUCGGUGUCGACAUCACUUGUUCGAACACUUGUCACAACAUUAUUGUACAUGUCCUUGAUGAGGGUAAUGUACUUUGCUGGGACUUUGUGUUUCUCCAAGGCCCACCACAUGACAUUCCGCGGUAUCUUAUCAUAGGCCUUCUCCAAGUCAAUGAACACCAUAUGCAAGUCCUUCUUAUGCUCCCUAUAUCUCUCCAUAAGUUGUCGUACCAAGAAAAUGGCUUCCAUGGUCGACCUCCCAGGCAUGAAACCAAACUGAUUUUUGGUCACGCUUGUCAUUCUUCUUAAGCGGUGCUCAAUGACUCUCUCCCAUAGCUUCAUUGUAUGGCUCAUCAGCUUAAUUCCACGGUAAUUAGUACAACUCUGAACAUCCCCCUUGUUCUUGAAGAUUGGUACUAAUAUACUCCGUCUCCAUUCUUCUGGCAUCUUGUUUGCCCGAAAAAUGAGGUUGAAAAGCUUGGUUAGCCAUACUAUCGCUAUGUCCCCGAGAUCUUUCCACACCUCAAUGGGGAUACAAUCAGGGCCCAUCGCCUUGCCUCCUUUCAUCCUUUUUAAAGCCUCCUUCACCUCAGACUCCUGGAUGCGCCGCACAAAACGCAUGCUGGUCUCAUCAAAGGAGUCAUUCAGUUCAAUGGUAGAACUCUCAUUCUCCCCAUUGAACAGCUUGUCGAAGUACUCCCGCCAUCUAUGCUUAAUCUCUUCGUCCUUCACCAAGAGUUGGCCUGCUCCGUCCUUGAUGCAUUUGACUUGGCCAAUAUCCCUCGUCUUCCUCUCCCGGAUCUUAGCCAUCUUAUAGAUGUCCCUUUCACCUUCCUUCGUGCCUAACCGUUGGUAGAGGUCCUCAUAUGCCCGACCCCUUGCUUCACCAACAGCUCGCUUUGCGGCCUUCUUCGCCAUCUUGUACUUCUCUAUGUUGUCUGCACUCCUAUCCAGGUAUAGGCGUCUGAAGCAAUCUUUCUUCUCUUUAAGCGCCUUCUGGACAUCAUCAUUCCACCACCAGGUAUCCUUAUCUUCGCUUCUCCUUCCCCUGGACACUCCAAACUCCUCCGAGGCCACCUUACGAAUGCAAGUCGCCAUCUUCAUCCACACAUUGUCCGCAUCCCCUCCUUCCUCCCAAGGGCCCUCCUUAAAUACCCUCUCCUUAAACACCUGAUCUACCUCCCCCUUGAGCUUCCACCACUUCGUUCUAGCGACCUUGGCACGCUUAUCCCGCUGGACACGAAUCCGAAAGCGGAAGUCAGCAACCACCAGCUUAUGCUGGGGUACAACACUCUCCCCAGGUAUCACCUUACAGUCUAGGCACGCACGCCUAUCUUCUCUUCUCGAGAGGAUGAAAUCAAUCUGGCUAGAGUGUUGGCCACUACUAAAAGUCACCAGAUGUGAUUCUCUCUUUCUAAAGAGGGUGUUAGCUACAAUCAUGUUGUAGGCUAGAGCAAAGCUUAAGACAUCUUCUCCUUCUUGAUUCCUGAUGCCAUAGCCAAAGCCCCCAUGCGCCCCUUCAAAACCUGUGUUAGAUGUACCCACGUGGCCAUUGAGGUCUCCUCCUAUGAAGAGCUUCUCACCAAUCGGUACACUCCUAACCAUGUCUUCCAAGCCUUCCCAGAACUCCCUCUUGGUGUUCUCAUUGUGGCCUACUUGCGGGGCAUAUGCGUUGAUAACAUUGAGAACCAAGUCCUCAGCUACCAGCUUGACCAGGAUAAUCCGGUCCCCACGUCUCCUGACGUCUACCACUCCAUACUUGAGGCUCUUGUUGAUCAAGAUGCCUACGCCAUUUCUGUUUGCAGCCGUCCCCGUGUACCACAGCUUGAAGCCGGUAUCCUCCACCUCCUUCGCCUUCUGUCCUCUCCAUUUGGUUUCUUGGACGCAAAGGAUAUCAACACCUCUCCUCACUGCUGCAUCAACUAGCUCCCGAAGCUUCCCUGUCAGAGACCCUACGUUCCAGCUACCUAAGCGAAUCCUCCUAGGCUCGGCUAGCUUCCUUACCCUUCGCACUCGUCGAGUCAAAUGCGAAGACCCUUGCUCAUUUUCCACUACAUCCGGGCGCCGAUGUAGCGCGCCACUAAGGAUGCGACGACCCGAUCCUCGCUCACUUGCCACCGUAUCCGGAUCAAGAUACGGCGCGCAUUGCAAGGAGCCAUUCUGUAAGAAAAUAACUGUCAAAAUAGAAAUUGGCCCAAAUUAUUGUUCUCAACAUCAACACUAUCACCGUUAUUACCUGAGGAGGUUCCGGGUGACCUUGAAGGGGUUUAGCAAUGAUGACCUUGCUGUUGGUUCUUCAUGAACGGGUAGAAGAGGGUGAUGAAACACGUCAUACAAGCAAACUGAUUGGAAUAUGCAGUUCAGUUGGCACAAAAUUCAAUUAAAUAUCACGCAGCAUAAGCAAAUUGGGUGGAGGGAGGGGCGAUGAUCUCACAAUAAAGGCUUAAAGACCUUGAGCACUUACUUGAUGGUGACACAGGCGUCCUUUUUGGGUAGGCUCGGUGAUCUCUUGAGGUCUGUCCCCUGUAGCAGCGAUGCGAUAUUGCGGAGGUUGAAGUCUGAAAUGGCGACAUGGUUCUCUGUCUUCACUUUGCACCCUUCAUUGGAUAAUCCUUCCCCUUCCACAUUUCUUCUCUGUGAUGCCACCACACCGUGUCAUUGGCAAACACGUAGAGCACAUGGAGGUAGCAUACACCCUUCAGCUCCUUCUCGAGUAGCUUGCAGAGUAGCAGCAACAAGUUAUUACAUUCUUCAGAUCUGCCUUACUUAGUUACUUCACAUCUCAUUUUCUACAACACCGCAUAUACUUCAUUUAGAGAACUUUACAAAACCCUAUCGUUUGGAUUUCCAUAUCAUAGGAUGGCAUAUUACUUUGAUUGUCUGAUCCAUCAAUAAGAAAGCUAUUCCUAAUCAACACAAACCAUAGAUCCAAUACCAAAGAAAGUCCAAACAGAUUAAUACUAAUACAUUCGGUAGCAUUGACAUGUUGACAGAAUGCAUCAGAGCAAUCUCAUUUGUGUACCUGCAACCUAUUGGGGGUAAUAGUCGACAAUCAAAAUGCUUCGACCAUAAACGAAUAUGGUACUCUUGCAAUAGUCCAUGUUCACAUAUACUCCCUCCAUUCCUAAAUAUAAGUCUUUGGAGAGAUUCCACUAUGCACCACAUACGGAUGUAUGUAGAUGCAUUUUAGAGUGUAGAUUCACUCAUUUUGUUCUGUAUGUAGUCCAUAGUGAAAUCUCUACAAGGACUUAUAUUUAGGAAUGGAGGGAGUAUAUAUUCUUCUGAACCAUAAGAAGCCACGAAAUUGAUAGGUGUUAGAGCUAGGAAAAAUUCUCACCGCAGCAAAACAAUGCAGGAGCUCAAACACGCCACCGAGUCUGAGCAUGAACAACAUAU
rnacentral:lncRNA from 1 species